rnacentral:tRNA from 13 species
UGGCCCAUGGGUGGAUCGCACCCACGACCUUCGUGUUAUUAGCAAGACGCUCUAACCAACUGAGCUAAUGGGCC